UACGUAGGGGGCAAGCGUUGUCCGGAAUCAUUGGGCGUAAAGAGCGUGUAGGCGGCCCGGUAAGUCCGCUGUGAAAGCCCAGGGCUCAACCCUGGGAUGCCGGUGGAUACUGUCGGGCUCGAGUCCGGAAGAGGAGUGUGGAAUUCCUGGUGUAGCGGUGAAAUGCGCAGAUAUCAGGAGGAACACCAAUGGCGAAGGCAGCUUGCUGGGACGGUACUGACGCUGAGACGCGAAAGCGUGGGGAGCGAACAGG
rnacentral:rRNA from 1 species